ensembl:snRNA U5 U5 spliceosomal RNA
UCACUCUUGUUUCUCUUCAGAUCGUAUAAAUCUUUUGCCUUUUACUAAAAGUUUCCGUGGAGAGGAUGAACAAGAGUUUUCUCCAAUUUUUGAUACCCUGCUUUGUGGUGGGGU